AUUGAACGCUGGCGGCAGGCCUAACACAUGCAAGUCGAGCGAGCGGCGGACGGGUGAGUAAUGUAUGGGGACUGCCCGAUAGAGGGGGCUAACUACUGGACACGGUGGCUAAUACCGCAUACUAUCGGCAAACCCAUAUGGGAUUAGCUAGUAGGUGGGGUAAAGGCUCACCUAGGCGACGAUCUCUAGCUGGUCUGAGAGGAUGAUCAGCCACACUGGGACUAAGACACGGCCCAGACUCCUACGGAGGCAGCAGUGGGGAAUAUUUCACGAUGGGCGCAAGCCUGAUGCAGCCAUGCCGCGUGUAUGAAGAAUGCCUUAGGAUUGUAAAGUACUUUCAGCGGGGAGGCGUUACCCGCAGAAGAAGCACCGGCUAACACCAAGCCAGCAGCCGCGGUAAUUC
rnacentral:rRNA from 1 species